AGAGUUUGAUCCUGGCUCAGGACGAACGCUGGCGGCGUGCUUAACACAUGCAAGUCGAACGGAAAGGCCCUGCUUGCAGGGUACUCGAGUGGCGAACGGGUGAGUAACACGUGGGUGAUCUGCCCUGCACUUCGGGAUAAGCCUGGGAAACUGGGUCUAAUACCGGAUAGGAGCCAUUUUUAGUGUGAUGGUUGGAAAGUUUUUUCGGUGUAGGAUGAGCUCGCGGCCUAUCAGCUUGUUGGUGGGGUAAUGGCCUACCAAGGCGGCGACGGGUAGCCGGCCUGAGAGGGUGGACGGCCACAUUGGGACUGAGAUACGGCCCAGACUCCUACGGGAGGCAGCAGUGGGGAAUAUUGCACAAUGGGCGCAAGCCUGAUGCAGCGACGCCGCGUGGGGGAUGACGGCCUUCGGGUUGUAAACUCCUUUCGCUAGGGACGAAGCUUUUUGUGACGGUACCUAGAUAAGAAGCACCGGCUAGCUACGUGCCAGCAGCCGCGGUAAUACGUAGGGUGCGAGCGUUGUCCGGAAUUACUGGGCGUAAAGGGCUCGUAGGUGGUUUGUCGCGUCGUCUGUGAAAUUCCGGGGCUUAACUCCGGGCGUGCAGGCGAUACGGGCAUAACUUGAGUACUGUAGGGGUAACUGGAAUUCCUGGUGUAGCGGUGAAAUGCGCGAUAUCAGGGGGAACACCGAUGGCGAAGGCAGGUUACUGGGCAGUUACUGACGCUGAGGAGCGAAAGCAUGGGUAGCGAACAGGAUUAGAUACCCUAGUAGUCC
rnacentral:rRNA from 1 species